rnacentral:rRNA from 1 species
GAUGAACGCUGGCGGCGUGCCUAAUACAUGCAAGUCGAGCGAACAGACGAGGAGCUUGCUCCUCUGACGUUAGCGGCGGACGGGUGAGUAACACGUGGAUAACCUACCUAUAAGACUGGGAUAACUUCGGGAAACCGGAGCUAAUACCGGAUAAUAUAUUGAACCGCAUGGUUCAAUAGUGAAAGACGGUUUUGCUGUCACUUAUAGAUGGAUCCGCGCCGCAUUAGCUAGUUGGUAAGGUAACAGCUUACCAAGGCAACGAUGCGUAGCCGACCUGAGAGGGUGAUCGGCCACACUGGAACUGAGACACGGUCCAGACUCCUACGAGAGGCAGCAGUAGGGAAUCUUCCGCAAUGGGCGAAAGCCUGACGGAGCAACGCCGCGUGAGUGAUGAAGGUCUUCGGAUCGUAAAACUCUGUUAUUAGGGAAGAACAAAUGUGUAAGUAACUAUGCACGUCUUGACGGUACCUAAUCAGAAAGCCACGGCUAACUACGUG